GCUACAAGCCAGGCUAUCGCUUCUUAUUUAUUUAGGAGGAGGAAAGUCCGGACAGCACAGAGCAAUGCACCGGUGAAGAGCCGGCUGGUUGGCAACAACCAAGAGAUAGUGCCACAGAAAAUAACUGCCUUCGGGUAAGGGUGAAAAUGUGAGGUAAGAGCUCACAGCUUUUGAUGGUAACAUCAUUGGCGGGUAAACCUUGCAUGCUGAAAUGCCACAUAUAGGUUCGUUUGAGAACGGCUCGUUCAAGAACCAGGGUAGGCAGCUUGAGUCCAAUGUGUAAAUGUUGGAACAGAUAAAUGAUAGCCCCCGACAGAAUCCGGCUUACCGGCUUGUAGCUUUU
rnacentral:RNase_P_RNA from 2 species